rnacentral:rRNA from 1 species
AACGAACGCUGGCGGCAUGCCUAACACAUGCAAGUCGAACGAGACCUCCGGGGCUACUGGCGCACGGGUGCGUAACGCGUUGGAACCUGCCCUUAGGUUCGGAAUAACUCCCCGAAAGGGGUGCUAAUACCGGAUAAUGUCUUCGGACCAAAGAUUGAUCGCCUUUGGAUGGGCCCGCGUUGGAUUAGCUAGUUGUUAGGGUAAAAGCCUACCAAGGCGACGAUCGAUAGCUGGUCUGAGAGGAUGAUCAGCCACACUGGGACUGAGACACGGCCGAGACUACUACGGGAGGCAGCAGUGGGGAAUAUUGGACAAUGGGCGAAAGCCUGAUGCAGCAAUGCCGCGUGAGUGAUGAAGGCCUGAGGGUUGUAAAGCUCUUUUACCCGGGAUGAUAAUGACAGUACCGGGAGAAUAAGCUCCGGCUAACUCCGUG